rnacentral:sRNA from 1 species
GGCUCAGUGAGGCCUUCGGACUGGCCCAGGGGGGUUGGCAACGACCGCCCAGGGCCGGAAAGUUGGUCAAACUUGGUCAUUUAGAGGAAGUAAAAGUCGUAACAAGGUUUCCGCAGCAUAAGUUGUGCGGUUGGAACAGGUUGAUUCCUUCCGCGGUGUACACUUAUCGAAGCCUGUGCAGCCACGCAAGUGGUAGACCCGAGGCGACUAUAAAGAAGUUUGGCGUCGCGAUGCAAGUCAGCGGACCGCUGGCGACACUUUCGAAUUGCCGGGGACGCCCUAAAGCCGGUCGCACCAACCCGUGCCGGGAAACCGCACGGGGGCCUGUGUUAAUCACACGGGGGAUGGUAACAGACGACCCGGAUACCUCUGCACCCGCAGAGACCGUGGGCAAUCCGCAGCGAAGCCCCUAAGUCCCCCGGCCCCCGGGGGAUACGGGGAACGUUCACAGACUAAGUGGAAGUGGGUGGGAUCCCCCCCAAGGAUCCUGCUUAAGAUAUAGUCGGGCCCCCCGGGAGACCGGGGGGGGCGAGUACACUGCUCCAGAACCAGAAACCGUUCCGUAGGUGAACCUGCGGAAGGAUCAUUACCGAGUGAGGGUCCUCUGGGCCCAACCUCCCACCCGUGUCUACCGUACCGUGUUGCUUCGGCGGGCACCUGCCCGCCGGAGACCCCCUAGAACGCUGUCUUGAACAAGGUUGCCGUCUGAGUGGGAUUGACCGAAUAGUUAAAACUUUCAACAACGGAUCUCUUGGUUCCGGCAUCGAUGAAGAACGCAGCGAAAUGCGAUAAGUAAUGUGAAUUGCAGAAUUCCGUGAAUCAUCGAAUCUUUGAACGCACAUUGCGCCCUCUGGCAUUCCGGAGGGCAUGCCUGUCCGAGCGUCAUUUCUGCCCCUCAAGCCCGGCUUGUGUGUUGGGCCGUCGUCCCCCCCACCCCCCGGGGGGGACGGGCCCGAAAGGCAGCGGCGGCGUCGCGUCCGGUCCUCGAGCGUAUGGGGCUCUGUCACCCGCUCUGGAGGCCUGGCCGGUGCCUGCCCACCCCCCAAUCUUCUCUAAGGUUGACCUCGGAUCAGGUAGGGAUACCCGCUGAACUUAAGCAUAUCAAUAAGCGGAGGAAAAGAAACCAACAGGGAUUGCCUCAGUAACGGCGAGUGAAGCGGCAAGAGCUCAAAUUUGAAAUCUGGCCCCCCUUGGGGGUCCGAGUUGUAAUUUGGAGAGGAUGCUUCGGGCACGGCCCCCGUCUAAGUGCCCUGGAACGGGCCGUCAUAGAGGGUGAGAAUCCCGUCUGGGAUGGGUGGCCGCGCCCGUGUGAAGCUCCUUCGACGAGUCGAGUUGUUUGGGAAUGCAGCUCUAAAUGGGUGGUAAAUUUCAUCUAAAGCUAAAUAUUGGCCGGAGACCGAUAGCGCACAAGUAGAGUGAUCGAAAGAUGAAAAGCACUUUGAAAAGAGAGUUAAACAGCACGUGAAAUUGUUGAAAGGGAAGCGCUUGCGACCAGACUCGCCCGGGGGGGCUCAACCGGCACUCGUGCCGGUGCACUCCCCCCCGGACGGGCCAGCGUCGGUUUGGGCGGUCGCUUAAAGGCCCCCGGAAUGUAGCACCCUCCGGGGUGUCUUAUAGCCGGGGGUGGAAUGCGGCCAGCCCAGACCGAGGAACGCGCUUCGGCUCGGACGCUGGCAUAAUGGUCGUAAGCGGCCCGUCUUGAAACACGGACCAAGGAGUCUAACAUCUACGCGAGUGUUCGGGUGUCAAACCCGUCCGCGCAGUGAAAGCGAACGGAGGUGGGAACCCCCGUCACCCGGGGGUGCACCAUCGACCGAUCCUGAUGUCUUCGGAUGGAUUUGAGUAAGAGCGUAGCUGUUGGGACCCGAAAGAUGGUGAACUAUGCCUGAAUAGGGCGAAGCCAGAGGAAACUCUGGUGGAGGCUCGCAGCGGUUCUGACGUGCAAAUCGAUCGUCGAAUU